CCUACGGGAGGCAGCAGUGAGGAAUAUUGGUCAAUGGACGAGAGUCUGAACCAGCCAAGUAGCGUGAAGGAUGACUGCCCUAUGGGUUGUAAACUUCUUUUAUAAAAGAAUAAAACGAGGCACGUGUGCCUUUUUGCAUGUACUUUAUGAAUAAGGAUCGGCUAACUCCGUGCCAGCAGCCGCGGUAAUACGGAGGAUCCGAGCGUUAUCCGGAUUUAUUGGGUUUAAAGGGAGCGUAGAUGGGUUGUUAAGUCAGUUGCGAAAGUUUGCGGCUCAACCGUAAAAUUGCAAUUGAUACUGGCAGUCUUGAGUACAGUUGAGGUAGGCGGAAUUCGUGGUGUAGCGGUGAAAUGCUUAGAUAUCACGAAGAACCCCGAUUGCGAAGGCAGCUUACUAAACUGUGACUGACAUUGAUGCUCGAAAGUGUGGGUAUCAAACAGGAUUAGAUACCCUUGUAGUC
rnacentral:rRNA from 1 species